GAAUGAUGAGACACAAGCUGGCACCAGUCUGAGAAGACUUGUACUCUUUGCAUGCGGAUCAGCUGCAUAGACUUUGUAGUCGCCCACUGAU
rnacentral:snoRNA from 1 species